rnacentral:rRNA from 1 species
GACGAACGCUGGCGGCGUGCUUAACACAUGCAAGUCGAACGGAAAGGCCCCUUUGGGGGUCCUCGAGUGGCGAACGGGUGAGUAACACGUGAGUAACCUGCCCUUGCCUUCGGUUUGACUUCAGGAAACUGGGGAUACUACCGGAUAGGCAUCCUUGCAGCUUGGUGGGGGUUGGGAAGCUUCGGCGGUUUUGGAUGGAGUCGCGGCUUAUCGGCUUGUUGGUGGGGUAGUGGCUUACCAAGGCUUUGACGGGUAGCCGGCCUGUGAGGGUGAGCGGCCACAGUGGGACUGAGAGACGGCCCAGACUCCGACGGGAGGCAGCAGGGGGGAAGAUUGCACAAGGGGCGGAAGCCGGAUGCAGCAACGCCGCGGGCGGGAAGACGGCCUUCGGGUUGUAAACCGCUUUCAGCAGGGGCGAAGCUUGUGGUGACGGUACCUGCAGAAGAAGCACCGGCUAACUACGUG